rnacentral:rRNA from 1 species
UAGUCAUAUGCUUGUCUCAAAGAUUAAGCCAUGCAUGUCUAAGUAUAAGCUUUUAUACGGCGAGACUGCGGAUGGCUCAUUAAAUCAGUUAUAGUUUAUUUGAUGGUUCCUUUUUUUACUACUUGGAUAACCGUAGUAAUUCUAGAGCUAAUACAUGCGCAAAGUCCUGACUGGGGGCAACCUCGGAAGGGAUGUAUUUAUUAGAUAAAAAACCGAUGCAGGAGGGCUUGCUCUCCUGGACCCACCGGUGAUUCAUAAUAACUCUAUCGAAUCGCAC